UUCGGGAAACCGGAGCUAAUACCGGAUAAUAUAUUGAACCGCAUGGUUCAAUAGUGAAAGACGGUUUUGCUGUCACUUAUAGAUGGAUCCGCGCCGCAUUAGCUAGUUGGUAAGGUAACGGCUUACCAAGGCAACGAUGCGUAGCCGACCUGAGAGGGUGAUCGGCCACACUGGAACUGAGACACGGUCCAG
rnacentral:rRNA from 1 species